GCGCCGAUGGUUUAGUGGUAAAAUUCUCCGUUGCCAUCCGCAAGCAGCGUCGGGGAGCCGGGGGUUCGAUUCCCCCUCGGCGCA